rnacentral:lncRNA from 1 species
GACCCAGUGCCCUGCUCCCUUGCCUGGACGGGAACAUAGCUCACCUCCCAGGGCCGUGAGGCAGUACCUACCCGUUGCUCACUUCUGAGGACCACCCAGCAUGCCGUUCUGCCCUUUCUGUUGAUCUGAUCUCGUUUAUUUGCUCAGUGGAUCAGCCUGCAUAGACCUCAACUCCGCCAUCUCACACACGUGUAGCCCUCCCGGCCUUCAUCUCCACCUUGCCCUCCUCCGAGUCCUGUCCCAGGGCUGAUGGUGGGCAGCACACGCUACUGAGUGAGUGGAUGGAGGAACGCGCAAAUCGAUGCCCGAGCCGCCUGCCCUGGUCUGCGCCAAGGAGAUAAUGUGAUGGCCGAGAUGGGCCGCAUCCUUCUGCCACAACGCCUGUGCCUGAACGCAGGGUCCGGGGCCCCAGGGCCUCCUCCCAUCCCUUUCAUUCCUCUCGACUUGUUGUAGUGUUUUUAAUUUGCUAUUUAAUGUCAUUCUAAGUAAAGAAAAAUUAAAAAUUUAUAUUAUUCAUAUUUUGAAUAAACGUUAAUAAAACAAAACAAACAAAUUUUGAAUUUUGAUGUUCACGUAUAUUUUGUGCGAUGCCAGUUUUAAAUGCAAAGUCCCUAGCCUGCAUGCGGACUCACCGAAUUACACUAUUCGUGCUUCGUCAUUUGCACAGUGGUCCCCGCUUAGCCGAGGUUUCCCUCUUCAUGGUUUUACU